rnacentral:rRNA from 1 species
UACAGAGGGUGCAAGCGUUGUUCGGAAUUAUUGGGCGUAAAGCGCGUGUAGGCGGCUUUGCAAGUCGGGUGUGAAAGCCCUCGGCUCAACCGAGGAAGUGCGCCCGAAACUGCAGAGCUUGAGUACCGGAGAGGGUGGCGGAAUUCCCCAAGUAGAGGUGAAAUUCGUAGAUAUCUGGAGGAACACCGGUGGCGAAGGCGGCAUCCUGGACCGGCAUUGACGCUGAGGCGCGAAAGCCAGGGGAGCAAACGGG